CUACUAGAGGGGUCUAUGAUGUAAAGUUGGUAUGUAGAACUGUAAAAUGAGAGAAAAAGGUAGUAGGGUUGGGUGUGGUAGGAAAAAAAUGAAAAAGUAAAGAAAAAUUAUAACAAAAUGAAAAAAAGAAUAAAAAACCACACCCAUCCUGAAUGUCCAAUAAAGAAUAAAAAAAGAGACAUAAGGGUGGAAUAAAAAGUAAAUUGGUUAAAUGUAGACCCCAAAAGUAGUUGUAUGUAACACCCCGC
rnacentral:lncRNA from 1 species